CACUGGAUGGAGAGGGCUAAAAUGGGGCCCCAAAUAACACAAGUUUAGAUAAAGGAAAGAGCACCUGAAAGGUUCCCGGGAUUGCUCUGCUGCCCCCUUGCGGGCCUGGGAAGUACUCCAGGAGUAUGCGAGGUGGCAGUGGAGGGUGCGCUGCCCACACGUGGGAGUGGGAAAUGCAGAUAAUCCGCCCCUUGGAAGAAAAGCCACGGGUUGCUGUCAUGCUGCAGGAGAGAAAUCCAAAGCGAGACGCGGAAAAAGAGGGCGUGCGACACAGAGGAGGAGCCCCCCGCAAGUGAAGAGGAACUGCGUGGUUGAGCCCUAGACCACCGCGGCCCCAUCCUGGCGAGUGUUGCCUGGUUCCUCAGCUCUAAGGGCCUUCAGAGGGUGGAGCAGUGCCAGGAAGUGAGAAUUCCAGCUCUGUACGGAUACCAGGAUCAAACUGGACCUCUACCAGUUGCCAUCUCUGGCUUUGAGAACUUUGUCAACAAGGAAGAAUAAUGCCAGGUGGUCUGGAGAAGGCUUGUCAUCGGUGCAUUUCUAAAAUUGCCA